AAUCAACGCUGGCGGCGUGCCUCAGACAUGCAAGUCGAACGCGAAAGGUUCCUUCGGGACCGAGUAGAGUGGCGCACAGGUGAGUAACACGUAGGUAAUUUGCCUUUGGGUGGGAAUAACUCAGGGAAACUUGAGCUAAUACCGCAUAAUGCAGCGGCUCGACAUCGAGACAGUUGUUAAAGCGGGGAUUCGCAAGAACCUCGCGCCUAAAGAGAAGCCUGCGGCAGAUUAGCUAGUUGGUAAGGUAAUGGCUUACCAAGGCGACGAUCUGUAACCGGCCUGGGAGGCGGUCGGUCACACUGACACUGACAUACGGGUCAGACUCCUACGGG
rnacentral:rRNA from 1 species